ACCACAGGCUGCAUCAGCUGUGGAGAGGCAGCCAGAGGGAGCACCCUCCCUCCAGCUGAAACCUCCUGACACUCCCAGCUGUGUAUAUAUAUGUGUCGUGUGCUCCCUGAUUUCUAUUUUGAGGUGUUUGUACUCUAGGGAGGUUGUUUGUGGUGCCCUAGGUGAGAUGGGCCUGGUACUGCUGGGCCUGGUCUUGCUGGGCCUGGUCCACCCUAGCCCAAGGUGAUGGAGAUAAAUGGAGGAUCCAGCCCAAGAGAUCUCUGCUGCAGGCAGUAGAUGAGGCUGGGCUUUCUGUUGAAGUGUCUAUCGCAGUGAUGGACCCUAAGAAAUAUCUUUUACAUCAGGCUUAAGCUUGCUGGCCGUGGGGUAGUGUUGGUGUAAGAGGCUGCUUAUCAGAUCGCUGGGUUAUUUGCCAGUCCAAGCUCCCCUGCAAUAGUCAGUGCUUAUUUCUGGGUUAUAAGGCGGAUUUAAGUCGGUUUGUCUUUCAUUUGUGCUUAGGGUGGAGAGGAAGGAGAGAGUUUGGAGGAAUCCGUACGUGGGGGAGAAACCAAACAAGGGGGAAUGACUAAUUCAAAGAGGCUUUCUCUUCUGACAGUCUCGGAUGAAUCUUUGUUUUGGGAACAAUUGAGAGAUCGCUCUAUUUGGGAAACUAAUAGUGCUUGCUCUGAAAGAGCCUUUGUCAAAGAGAUGCCAAAAGGAUUUAUGGGCUCCAGCCAGGCCGUGCAGGUAUUGAGUGAGCACUGUCAAUAGAUGCUCUUCUCUCUGUUCAGCUGGACUAUGAUUUGUACCAGCUCCUGCCUGCAAUUGAUCUCGAAAGGGCCAAUUUAAUGCAGGAUCUGUUUAUUUUAGGCGAGUGCAACAGACCUUUAAAAGGCUCAUCAGUGAAGCUGGGGGGAUUUUCAAUAUCUGUGUUGUUGAAGAAAGGGCUCUUGCUCACCAGUGCUCUCCAAACACGGAGGAAUGCAAAUACCAGGCAUCUAUACCUCAGUAUCUUGCUUCCAGAAGCAUGUUAGCACUACAGGGCUUUUACCCAGUUGUAAUUAAUCUCUCUCCAGCUGGUUUUCAAGCCUCUGGGAAUUUAGGCUUAUGCAUACUUCAGUAAAUAAAUUCUUAGGUAUUGCUGUAGUAGGACAAUUGUAGUCUUUGGCUACUGGUAGUCAAAUACGAGAUUUAUUUCUAUCGAACAGUGGUAAAUGGAAUGUAGAAGUUGCUCAAGAGACCAAUAAAUAAGUAUUCCUCCUUCGCUGGGAGUGAAGGAAGAAUUAAUGUCCAAGUGGAGAAAGCAAUUUCUCAGUGGAGGAGCUGGGCUUCCUGCUAAAUGCACCCAAUUUGGAGAACUGAAGCUGGUGGUGGUGCAGCAUUCCUGAGGCUGCAGGUCUUGUUAUUGUCCUUGGUGUCCUUCCACAAAAUCUGCUUCUUCUUCGUACCCCUGCCCAGCACCCAGCCUCCAACAAAUAGCUGGAAAACCAUUUGUGUGCGGCUUUUAGACAUUUCUGAGAUGCCUCCAUGAAACUGAAGACACCCAGAGCUCUCUAGGAUAUAUCCAUUUACCUUUUGUGGUUUGGAGUAGAAGUGCGGUUGCUGUGUAUCUUGCUACUAUUGAUCUGGAGAAGAAAACACUUUCUGCUAAAUACCCGGCUCCUUUCUUAACGGGGAGCUGAGUGGGUCUGAAGCCAGUCAGACAAAUGUCUAAGGAAAGGAAGACGGGGGGAUCGUCUGAGGUCUCAAAACCCGCUAUUUCAGGUGUUGUGUGCCCCCGUCUCAAUGGGAUGAGCAUGACCCAAGGGGGAAAAUCCCAUCUUUUUGUGUUCUGCCCCUGCACUCUUCCCGCUGCUGCAGGGGCUUAUCAGGUGGAGUCACAACCAGAUCUGCAAACCAACCCCAAGAUUGUUUAAUUACAGCUUGACUGAACUGUUCGUUUCAGUUGAGUUUGUUUUCAAAGAUGCUUCCAAUCCUCAUUUGUUUGGACUGAACAGUUACAGGAUAAUCCCCAUAGGAGGACCUAGACAUCCCGUCUUUGUUUGAAGAAACGCUUUGCUCAACCACACACAAAAAAAUAAAAUAAAAAGAGAUGAGAAAGUUUCAGAGCAUUUUCUGUGUUAUUUUGGAGAGAGCAGAAGUAUUUUCAAUUCAGGUUAAUCCUGGACUAUAUCUAUUCGGAAAGAUCUUUUUGCCUCGGCAGAGUCAUAAUAAUGAUUACUCAGUCAGCUUUGCUCGGAGUAUAAAUUCUGAACAUCUUUUAAUUUCCCUUAUAUCUCAGUGGUUGCAGAGGGAAAACAGUAUUUCACCCGGGGAACUCGGCAGAGAAGACAAACGUCUGCAAGCUAGAAACAUUGGGGAAGUCUACAAAGAAGCCAAGGGGUAGAAAUGUGGGAGUUAAGAUGCAGCGAGCUGUAAUUCUGCUGCUUGUAAUAAUGUAAGGAAUAAGAAGGGAAGCGCCAGAAUAUAAAAGAAUUGGGACUGGCUGAGAAAAUGAGACCGGAGGUAAAGCUGGAAUGAGCUUUCAGGCCUGGAAUGAGUACGUGGACUGUUUUCCUCCACCGUGAGAAGGAUGCGGGAUGGUCCCAAGCCAUUUAUUGCUUGUCCUCUGCUUGGUCUCCGCUGCCAGGGGAGCAGAAGCGGCGAGCCACGAGCAUCCUGAUCUCUCCCAGCCGAUUAUCCCGUGACGGAGAGGGAGUCAUCUACGGAGACGGCUCUGCAAACACAUUUGCGCAGAAGUGAUGUUAUUACCGGGCUUUUGCCAAAAGCAAUUAUUUUAUUGAAUAAGCUCGUUGUGCUGCCAGCGCUCCGGCCAUACUUUAUGUGGCUUAAAUGAGGUCCUUUGCUAAGGGAGCCUUCCCCGGUGCUUUAAUUUCAUCCAGACUCUGACUCACCAGCAGCAGCGCCCGGUGCAGGGAGGGGAGAGGUGCAAAUAAAAAAAAAAAAGCACUUGCAGGCAACACAAAAAAUCCCUUAUCUGAUGAUGUGAUGCUGCGGAAUACGAGGGAACAAACUUAUUUUCAGCUAGCCUUGUUCAAAGCCUUGGGAAAACAGGGAUGAAGCGUCCUGUCUUUCCUUUGCCCACGUGAGCUGGGAGGAUUAGGGUUUUUUUGGGGUAUUAGGACCACGUUAAGCCUGUAGGCUGGUGUCCUGUGGGUCUCUUCUACUCUUAUGGUAGCAGCUUAAAUUAAAAGAUGUCCAAAGGACUUGGAGGACUCUAUUAAUUAGAGGAUUUGAGCGGCUUUGGAUGACCCUGCAGAGGCCACCCAAAAAUGCAAUUUGUGCCCGAUACACAACCAGCUACACAGUCCGAACGUGGGUUCAGAUUAAAACCCACUAACUUCACACGGAGUCCUUUAACUUUCCUCGGAGAAGACUAUGGGGCUUCAUUCGUCUCAGCCUGAAGCGGACGUGGCUCUUGGAAGUGCAAGCUGCCGAAUGAUCUGGUUUAGAUCCAGAUGUGGGUUCUGGCACGUACCUGUCAUCUCCCUUAAUUAAGUGGCUACACGGAGAGCGACGGUGCUUGUGGGAUGAUGAAUGGAGCCGAGUGCCUUGAAUCAUGUUACAGGACCUCAUGGAUAGGGCAGCGAGGUGCCUGUUUCAUGCUCGUAAAUUAGAGAGUUAAAAUAGACGAUGCGAAUGCCCUCGUCGGAUGGUUUUUGCCUCCUGAAAUCCAACGCUGCAAGUAAAAUCCACGUUUGAGCCCGUUGCAGCUGAGGAUGCUGGAACGUGGGAGCCAGGACCGGAGUUAAUGGUGCUGUGAGCUCCAUCCUGAGGUCCCUUGGCUAUGUUGCUUUAGGAGCCUGUUCCCAAAUGUUCCCAAACCUCGGAGGUGCACCCUGUUAUUGCAGUCAGGACUUAUAGCCCCAGUAGAAGCAACCCCUUUUCCCUCUGCACGGGGAAAACCCGAUGCUGGACUCACGCAGGAAAAUCGCCGAAAUUUAAAACGUGAAAAAAAAAAUAAGCAGCCUCUCGAGCACGAAGGAAACCCUCUCCGCGUUUUUCUCCCUCGGUUUUAAUUUCAGACACCACCUGCUGUGCCUGAGUCGGGGUCUAACAUCAGGAAGAAAUAUUCCGUCUGAAACGGCUGCGCCCGCGCCGAGCAAGGUCUUUGGUGGAGCCGACAUAAAUUCCCUUGUCCCCGCUGCUGUUUGCUCAGACCUGGGGUCAGCCGGGCUCGAGAUCUGGAGGAACCCAAGCUCCUGGGCUUUAAUUUUACAGCUGCAGCAUCCCGGGUGGAGGGAGGUCAGGAAUUCCUCGCCGUGCUCAUUUGUUAACCUGUUGCUCAUGCAGCUCACCGACACACCCCCAAACCUGUCGGAUAAAUCCAUUUGGGGGGCAGUUUGCUCCCAAUUCCGCUUUCUAAUUAGCGUUAAUGAGGUUUGCAGACCCAGCUGGUCCACGAUGUGGGAGAGUUGGGUGCAUCCUCCACCUCUUUAAUAGAGCAAAGUGCUGGCGCGCCGCAGUUCGGGGCUAGUUUUUGAUGAGAGGAUGCUGCUGGUGGCUCCCAGGUGUCCUUAACCACGUCUCCGUAUUUUUGCUGGCCCCAAAAAGCUGCCUGGCAUCACAACGGGGUGUUUUGCCUUUUUGGGGUUUUGCCUGCUGCCUGACCCAGGAGCAGGCAGCCGGCGGGCUCGGUGGCAAGCUCGUCAUUACCGCGAGGAAGCAUCAAUUAGUCCCAGCCACGCUGCAUUCGGGAUGGUUUCUAAAAUUAGCAGAGAUGAUCAAUCAGGGUUGUGCGUAACGAGCAGCAGCAAUACCUGAAUUAUGAAGCGUGGGGAAAUAAUAAAGGUGACAAGCCGAAACAGCCCUCCUCGGGGAGAAAAUAUUCGGCUCGCUCAAAUUCCCUGCCUGCCUUUGUUUGAACACAGAUGUGAAUUUUACACCGAAAUACUAUUAAGAGCUGUAGGGAAAGGGAGUUUAUAUUUUUUUUUUUAUUUGUUUCCAAAAUAAAGGCACGGCUCUCUUUGCGUAAGGCCAUCCAUGUGGUCAUCCAACGGGAUUUGGCUCAGAAAAACCCUAUAAAUUAAGUCAAAUAAAUAGAUGAGAGUGAAACGGGGGGAAUUUAUUGCCCAAAAUACCCACUGCUGGAAAAUUCACAGGUUUAGUUUGAGCCUCUUUUUUAAUUAUUUCUCCUUUUUUAUGAGUGGCUUGAGGGUUAUUUAUUGUUUGGAUAAAACACAGCCCCAGGGAGGUGGUUUCUGGGGCUGCCACUGACUGCCUUCUGCUGCCCACGAGAGGCAGGAACAAGAUGUGGGAUGUCCAGAGGUCCCUUCCAGGUGUUUUUCCAUGAACUUUGGGAUUUUAGUGAGGCCGGGAUGUGCUGGGAGCCAGCACCUUCCAGCUCGGGGAAGCGUAGCUCCGAAGGAAGCGAUCGCUCUUGUCUCGUGGCGGAGCCAGGCAAUGAAUUAGUCAUGUCAGAGCAUGGCCAUAAAAAAGAAAAUCUUUAAAACAAGGGUUUUGGAGCACGGUGUUCCCAGGUGGAUCCCAGUCCCUUGGCAUCGCGGGUGAAGGCGCAGCCCUGCCUGGGAUGCUUGUACCUGACAUGAAUAAAACAAGCAAUAUAAAAAUAUUCAGAGCUUUUCAGCAGAGAAUCUUCAGCAUGGAAAUCUUGGGUCAAUGUUGUCAUUAACCAGAUGUUUGGGGCAAAUCUCUCAGAUAUAAGAGACCUCCUGAUAAGAUCCCGACCUGGAUAAAGGUAUUCCACGGUUUUCCAGCUGUGUCCCAUCAUUUCAUUGCUCUAUAAAGCUAACUAAUGAACAAAAAUACAAAAAAAAACAAAGCCUUAGUUUUCUUCCUGAACAGACGCGUUUUCUGAACGUGGAUUUCCUACGAAAAUCACCCGAAUUUAGAAAAUCCCACUGAAAAUCCCACUGCGUGUCCCUGUCUGCCAACCCUAAUGGCUUUUGCCCCUCUUUGGUGGGAGGAUUUGGAGGAGAAGAGCCCAGCUGAAGGGUGGAAGAAGACAGCAUCGGGCUUCAACCCUUCUUCAAGGCUGGAGGAGCCACCAAGAGGAAAGUUGCACGGAAUGAAAAACCCCAGGAAAUGGGCUUCGCAUCUCUCCUGGCUCAGUUUGAAGAAUUACACGUCUUCAAACUUUUUUUUUUUUCUUCUGCACAAACAGAAUUCUUGUGGUUUUUUUUUCAGCCAACUUUAAUGAACACUCGACGACAAGCUGAGAAGAGGAGCGACGUGAAAAUAAGGCUCUUUGUCAAGUGGACGAGUACACUCUUAUUGACUCCAGCACAGCCCUUGGUAGUGCUUUGUGCCCAUCUUUUCUUUCCGUUGGCAAAAGGCUCUAUUUUUCAGAAGAAAAAAAAAAAAAAGAGAAAAAAAAAAUAAAUCCCACCUCCCCUCACCACAAUCUAUACGGUAAGAAAAGUUUUGCCUCCUGUGAAGUGUUCCUCGCCUUUCUCAAAAUGUUUAAAAAGCUUUAACUUUGAAAAGACUUCGGAAAACAAGUCUGAAAAGACCCUGCUAUUUCCUUUUCCAUCAGUUACUGAAAUUUUACAAGCAGUGAUUUCAGCGUCAUUUGUGGCACGGCUCUUUUUGGGAAAGGUGUAAUUGGGGUGGUUGCAAAACUUUGAGAAAUUGGUCCUCUUCGGGUGAAAAAAACGAAACUGUGGCUGCUCCUUUUUGCCCAGUUUUAAUUUGAUGGGAAUCCUUUAUUAAUCACGAGCUUUGCUACGGGUUAAAUGCAUUCCUUCUAUAACUUUGUAAUAUAUUUACGUAUUAUAUUUAUAAAUUAUAAAGGGUUAUGUGGGAGGUUUUAUUUUGAUGCCUAAAGAAUAAUCUUGACGUCUAAAGAAUAAUUUAGAGAAAUCCGUGUCCUAAACAGGCAAUGCUCUUCAUGGUGUUAUUAAGAAAAAAAUUUAGGACUUUUCAGGCUAAAGCUGACCUGAUCGCAGCUCUGUGCAGAGCAAAGCAAAGCGGAUACGGCAGCAGCUUUGGUGUUGGGAUCCCUGCUAUCAGGAGAAGGUCAGUGCAAAGAGCAGCGCGUAGUUGGCAGCGUAUUUAUCCCGUUGAACUUUGGCUCUCGGGAUGCCCCUGCCUAGAGCUACCCUGCUCUCUCCGCCGACUACACAAGGAGCUUGAAUUACGAGCCUGACUUCACCCUGCUCGGAUUUCUAAGGCAGCCUACAUGAGCUGGGGGGAAUAUCUCCAGCGUUUGACCCAGCCGUUGAUGUGCCAACUACACCGACGUCCCUGGGUCUAGGCUCCCGGCUGUAAGGUCUCGUGCCACUUUGAGGUUUGCUCCCUGUCCCCUUGCACUUGCUCUUAAUUAAAUCCUUCUUUCUGUUGCA